rnacentral:rRNA from 1 species
AACCAACAGGGAUUGCCUCAGUAACGGCGAGUGAAGCGGCAACAGCUCAAAUUUGAAAUCUGGCGCCUUCGGCGUCCGAGUUGUAAUUUGUAGAGGAUGCUAUUGGGUUGCCACCGGUCUAAGUUCCUUGGAACAGGACGUCACAGAGGGUGAGAAUCCCGUAUGUGACCGGCCAGGCGCCUUCUGUAUAGCUCCUUCGACGAGUCGGGUUGUUUGGGAAUGCAGCCCUAAAUGGGAGGUAAAUUUCUUCUAAAGCUAAAUACCGGCCAGAGACCGAUAGCGCACAAGUAGAGUGAUCGAAAGAUGAAAAGCACUUUGGAAAGAGAGUUAAAAAGCACGUGAAAUUGUUGAAAGGGAAGCGCUUGCAAUCAGUCUCGACGGCGGCUGUUCGGCCUCUCUUCUGAGUGGUUUAUUCAGUCGCCGCCGGGCCAGCAUCAGUUUUGGCGGUCGGAUAAAGGCGUGGGGAAUGUAGCUCCUCCGGGAGUGUUAUAGCCCCGCGUGCAAUACGGCCCGCCGGGACUGAGGUCCGCGCUUCGGCUAGGAUGCUGGCGAAAUGGUUGUAAGCGGCCCGUCUUGAAACACGGACCAAGGAGUCUAACAUCUACGCGAGUGUUUGGGUGUCAAACCCGUGCGCGCAAUGAAAGUGAACGGAGGUGGGAACCGCAAGGUGCACCAUCGACCGAUCCUGAUGUCUUCGGAUGGAUUUGAGUAAGAGCGUAGCUGUUGGGACCCGAAAGAUGGUGAACUAUGCCUGAAUAGGGUGAAGCCAGAGGAAACUCUGGUGGAGGCUCGCAGCGGUUCUGACGUGCAAAUCGAUCGUCAAAUUUGGGUAUAGGGGCGAAAGACUAAUCGAACCAUCUACUAGCU